GAACGCUGGCGGCAGGCCUAACACAUGCAAGUCGAGCGCGCCCUUCGGGGUGAGCGGCGGACGGGUUAGUAACGCGUGGGAAUAUGCCCAAUGGUACGGAAUAGCCUCUGGAAACGGAGAGUAAUACCGUAUGAGCCCUUCGGGGGAAAGAUUUAUCGCCAUUGGAUUAGCCCGCGUUAGAUUAGGUAGUUGGUGGGGUAAUGGCCUACCAAGCCUACGAUCUAUAGCUGGUUUUAGAGGAUGAUCAGCAACACUGGGACUGAGACACGGCCCAGACUCCUACGGGAGGCAGCAGUGGGGAAUCUUGGACAAUGGGGGCAACCCUGAUCCAGCCAUGCCGCGUGAGUGAUGAAGGCCUUAGGGUCGUAAAGCUCUUUCGCCUGUGAAGAUAAUGACGGUAGCAGGUAAAGAAACCCCGGCUAACUCCGUGCCAGCAGCCGCGGUAAUACGGAGGGGGUUAGCGUUGUUCGGAAUUACUGGGCGUAAAGCGCACGUAGGCGGACCAGAAAGUUGGGGGUGAAAUCCCGGGGCUCAACCCCGGAACUGCCUCCAAAACUAUU
rnacentral:rRNA from 1 species